rnacentral:rRNA from 1 species
CCUAAGGUAGCGAAAUUCCUUGUCGGGUAAGUUCCGACCUGCACGAAUGGCGUAAUGAUGGGGGCGCUGUCUCCACCCGAGACUCAGUGAAAUCGAAAUCGCAGUGAAGAUGCUGUGUACCCGCGGCUAGACGGAAAGACCCCGUGAACCUUUACUAUAGCUUCACAGUGGACUUUGAACCUGUUUGUGUAGGAUAGCUGGGAGACUUUGAAGCAGUGACGCUAGUCAUUGUGGAGUCGUCCUUGAAAUACCAGCCUGGCAUGUUUGAGGUUCUAACCUGGGUCCCUUAUCGGGAUCGGGGACAUUGUGUGGUGGGUAGUUUGACUGGGGCGGUCUCCUCCCAAAGAGUAACGGAGGAGCACAAAGGUACCCUCAGCACGGUCGGACAUCGUGCAACGAGCGUAAAGGUAGAAGGGUGCUUGACUGCGAGACUUACAAGUCGAGCAGGUGCGAAAGCAGGUCUUAGUGAUCCGGUGGUUCUGUAUGGAAGGGCCAUCGCUCAACGGAUAAAAGGUACUCCGGGGAUAACAGGCUGAUACCGCCCAAGAGUUCAUAUCGACGGCGGUGUUUGGCACCUCGAUGUCGGCUCAUCACAUCCUGGGGCUGAAGUCGGUCCCAAGGGUAUGGCUGUUCGCCAUUUAAAGUGGUACGCGAGCUGGGUUUAGAACGUCGUGAGACAGUUCGGUCCCUAUCUGCCGUGGGCGUUGGAGAUUUGAGAGGAGCUGCUCCUAGUACGAGAGGACCGGAGUGGACGAACCUCUGGUGUUCCGGUUGUCACGCCAGUGGCAUUGCCGGGUAGCUACGUUCGGACGGGAUAACCGCUGAAAGCAUCUAAGCGGGAAGCCUCCCUCAAGAUGAGAUCUCCCUGGGAACUUGAUUCCCCUGAAGGGCCGUUGAAGACCACAACGUUGAUAGGCUGGGUGUGGAAGCGUUGUAAGGCGUGAAGCUAACCAGUACUAAUUGCCCGUGAGGCUUGACUAU